CUGACACAGGUGCUGCAUGGCUGUCGUCAGCUCGUGUCGUGAGAUGUUGGGUUAAGUCCGUACGAGCGCAACCCUGUCCUUAGUUACCAGCACGUUAUGGUGGGCACUCUAAGGAGACUGCCGGUGGACAAACCGGAGGAAGGUGGGGGAUGACGUCAAGUCAUCAUGGCCCUUACGGCCUGGGCUACACACGUGCUACAAUGGUCGGUACAAAGGGUUGCCAAGCCGCGAGGUGGAGCUAAUCCCAUAAAACCGAUCGUAGUCCGGAUCGCAGUCUGCAACUCGACUGCGUGAAGUCGGAAUCGCUAGUAAUCGUGAAUCAGAAUGUCACGGUGAAUACGUUCCCGGGCCUU
rnacentral:rRNA from 1 species